rnacentral:rRNA from 1 species
AGCAGCCGCGGUAAUUCCAGCUCCAAUAGCGUAUAUUAAAGUUGUUGCAGUUAAAAAGCUCGUAGUUGAAUUUCGGGGUCAAUACGUCGGUCGUGCCUUCGGUACGUACUGGUGUUAUUGAUCUCUCCCUUCUGAUGAAUCAUGAUGUCAUUAAUUUGGUGUCGUGGGAAACAGGACUGUUACUUUGAAAAAAUUAGAGUGUUUAAAGCAGGCUAACGCUUGAAUACAUUAGCAUGGAAUAAUGAAAUAGGACGAGCGAUCCUAUUUUGUUGGUUUCUAGGAUUGACGUAAUGAUUAAUAGGGAUAGUUGGGGGCAUUAGUAUUCAAUUGUCAGAGGUGAAAUUCUUGGAUUUAUUGAAGACUAACUACUGCGAAAGCAUUUGCCAAGGAUGUUUUCAUUAAUCAAGAACGAAAGUUAGGGGAUCGAAGACGAUCAGAUACCGUCGUAGU